GAUGAACGCUAGCGGCAGGCCCAAUACAUGCAAGUCGAACGGUGUCUUCGGACAUAGUGGCGCACGGGUGCGUAACACGUAUGCAACCUACCUUACAUUGGGGGAUAGCCUUUCGAAAGGGAGAUUAAUACCGCAUAAGACAGUAGCUGGGCAUCCAGCAGCUGUUAAAGAUUUAUCGAUGUAAGCUGGGCAUGCGUCCAAUUAGCUAGUUGGUGAGGUGACGGCUCACCAAGGCAAUGAUUGGUAGGGGAACUGAGAGGUCAAUCCCCCACACUGGCACGGAGAGACGGGCCAGACUCCUACGGGAGGCAGCAGUAGGGAAUAUUGGGCAAUGGACGCAAGUCUGACCCAGCCAUGCCGCGUGCAGGAUGAAGGCGUUAUGCGUUGUAAACUGCUUUUAUACAGGAAGAAACGACUCUUGCGAGAGGCAUUGACGGUACUGUAUGAAUAAGCACCGGCUAACUCCGUGCCAGCCGCCGCCGUAAAAC
rnacentral:rRNA from 1 species